rnacentral:rRNA from 1 species
AGAGUUUGAUCCUGGCUCAGAACGAACGCUGGCGGCAUGCCUAACACAUGCAAGUCGAACGAGACCUUCGGGUCUAGUGGCGCACGGGUGCGUAACGCGUGGGAAUCUGCCCUUCGGUUGGGAAUAACUCAGGGAAACUUGAGCUAAUACCUUAUAAUGUCUUCGGACCAAAGAUUUAUCGCCGAGGGAUGAGCCCGCGUAGGAUUAGCUAGUUGGUGGGGUAAUGGCCUACCAAGGCGACGAUCCUUAGCUGGUCUGAGAGGAUGAUCAGCCACACUGGGACUGAGACACGGCCCAGACUCCUACGGGAGGCAGCAGUGGGGAAUAUUGGACAAUGGGCGAAAGCCUGAUCCAGCAAUGCCGCGUGAGUGAUGAAGGCCUUAGGGUUGUAAAGCUCUUUUACCCGGGAUGAUAAUGACAGUACCGGGAGAAUAAGCUCCGGCUAACUCCGUGCCAGCAGCCGCGGUAAUACGGAGGGAGCUAGCGUUGUUCGGAAUUACUGGGCGUAAAAGCGCGCGUAGGCGGUUACUCAAGUCAGAGGUGAAAGCCCGGGGCUCAACCCCCGGAACUGCCUUUGAAACUAGGUAACUAGAAUCUUGGAGAGGUCAGUGGAAUUCCGAGUGUAGAGGUGAAAUUCGUAGAUAUUCGGAAGAACACCAGUGGCGAAGGCGACUGACUGGACAAGUAUUGACGCUGAGGUGCGAAAGCGUAGGGAGCAAACAGGAUUAGAUACCCUAGUAGUCC